rnacentral:rRNA from 1 species
ACGCUCGACACCUACGGGGGCAGCAGUGGGGAAUAUUGCACAAUGGGGGAAACCCUGAUGCAGCGACGCCGCGUGAGUGAAGAAGUAUUUCGGUAUGUAAAGCUCUAUCAGCAGGGAAGAAGAUGACGGUACCUGAGUAAGAAGCCCCGGCUAACUACGUGCCAGCACGCCGACGGUAAUCGUGAGGCGGGCGUGGACGAAGGC